AGUGAACGCUGGCGGCAUGCCUAACACAUGCAAGUCGAACGAGACCUUCGGGUCUAGUGGCGCACGGGUGCGUAACGCGUGGGAAUCUGCCCUUGGGUUCGGAAUAACAGUUAGAAAUGACUGCUAAUAGCGGAUGAUGUCGAAAGACCAAAGAUUUAUCGCCCGAGGAUGAGCCCGCGUAGGAUUAGCGAGUUGGUGAGGUAAAGGCUCACCAAGGCGACGAUCCUUAGCUGGUCUGAGAGGAUGAUCAGCCACACUGGGACUGAGACACGGCCCAGACUCCUACGGGAGGCAGCAGUGGGGAAUAUUGGACAAUGGGCGAAAGCCUGAUCCAGCAAUGCCGCGUGAGUGAUGAAGGCCUUAGGGUUGUAAAGCUCUUUUACCCGGGAUGAUAAUGACAGUACCGGGAGAAUAAGCUCCGGCUAACUUCGUGCCAGCCGCCGCCGUAACAC
rnacentral:rRNA from 1 species